rnacentral:rRNA from 1 species
CAAACUAGGAGAUGGCGACCGGCGCACGGGUGAGUAACACGUACCCAACCUGCCGAUAACUCGGGGAUAGCCUUUCGAAAGAAAGAUUAAUACCCGAUGGCAUAAUAGAACCGCAUGGUUUGAUUAUUAAAGAAUUUCGGUUAUCGAUGGGGAUGCGUUCCAUUAGGCAGUUGGUGGGGUAACGGCCCACCAAACCUUCGAUGGAUAGGGGUUCUGAGAGGAAGGUCCCCCACAUUGGAACUGAGACACGGUCCAA